rnacentral:lncRNA from 1 species
UUGAGUCGUAUAGGAACGCUUUCCUUUAUUACGCUCGAUACUUUGGCCGAAGAUUCCCGAAUCAUAUCUUAGAGUAUUCUUCCUCUCUAAUCGAGGAUUAGAGAUUCCUUGUUGCGCAUUCACUUGCCUUCAUGACUAAGUGGCUUAACCCCAAUUAUGCCGUGGACAUCCGCAAAUGGGGUGACUUUGACAUAAUCAAAGAUUAAGUACUUAGCCACAAGACAACGACGAUGCCUCAGGUCAAAUGACUACUUACAUUAUUCCAACCAUUAGAGUUACUUGCUUG